GGCCUCGUGGCGCAAGGGUAGUGCAUCUGACUCCAGAUCAGAAGGUUGUGUGUUCAAAUCACAUCGGGGUCA
rfam:Chelonia mydas contig264703, whole genome shotgun sequence.